CCUACGGGAGGCAGCAGUAGGGAAUUUUCGGCAAUGGGGGGAACCCUGACCGAGCAACGCCGCGUGAACGAAGAAGUUAUUCGUAAUGUAAAGUUCUUUUAACAGGGAAGAAAGAGAAAUUUGACGGUACCUGAAGAAUAAGCUCCGGCCAACUACGUGCCAGCAGCCGCGGUAAUACGUAGGGAGCGAGCGUUAUCCGGAAUUAUUGGGCGUAAGGGGUGCGUAGAUGGCAUAGUAAGUCUUUGGUAAAAAUGCGGGGCUCAACCCAGUAGGGCAAAAGAUACUGCAAAGCUAGAGUAUGACAGAGGCAAGUGGAACUACAUGUGUAGCGGUAAAAUGCGUAAAUAUAUGUAAGAACACCAGUGGCGAAGGCGGCUUGCUGGGUCGAUACUGACAUUGAGGCACGAAAGCGUGGGGAGCAAACAGGAUUAGAUACCCCGGUAGUC
rnacentral:rRNA from 1 species